rnacentral:rRNA from 1 species
GACGAACGCUGGCGGCGUGCUUAACACAUGCAAGUCGAACGGAAAGGCCCUGCUUUUGUGGGGUGCUCGAGUGGCGAACGGGUGAGUAACACGUGAGUAACCUGCCCUUGACUUUGGGAUAACUUCAGGAAACUGGGGCUAAUACCGGAUAGGAGCUCCUGCUGCAUGGUGGGGGUUGGAAAGUUUCGGCGGUUGGGGAUGGACGCGCGGCUUAUCAGCUUGUUGGUGGGGUAGUGGCUUACCAAGGCUUUGACGGGUAGCCGGCCUGAGAGGGUGACCGGGCACAUUGGGACUGAGGUACGGCGCAGAGUCCUACGGGAGGCAGCAGGGGGGAAUAUGGCACAGUGGUGGGAAGUCUGAGGCGGCAACGCCGCGUGCGGGAUGACGUCCUGCGGGUUGUAAACCGCUUUCGCCUGUGACGAAGCGUGAGUGACGGUAAUGGGUAAAGAAGCACCGGCUAACUACGUG